AAAAGGAUGGGAGGGGACGAAUGGGUAGAACACGGUAUCUUUAGGGCACUGAAAUAUUCUGCAUGGUAAAUUUGGUGGAUAUAUGAAAUCACACUUUUGUUCAAAGCCAUCGAAUGCACAACACCAAGCGUGAAUCCUAAUGUAAACUAUGUACUUUAUGGGUGUGAAUCCUUAUGUAAACUCUGAGGAUUAUGAUGUGUCAGUGUGGGUUCAUUAGUUGUAAGAAAUGCGGCACGGUGUGGGGGGGUGAUGUUGAUAAUGGGGCCUGCAUGUGUGGGGUCAGAGGGUAGAUGGGAGAUCUCUAUCUUCCGUUCAGUUUUGCUGUGAACUUAAAACUGCUCUAAAAAUAGACUAUUGAAAAAAAGCAACUAUCUCUUAGAGGCAUCCCCAUGCAGGAAAUUACCCAAGGGACCUGUGAAGGUUUUAACUGUGAGCGAAGGUACUCAACAGAUCUCAGGAAUGGAGGGAAUGAAGAUGACUGCUCUUUGAUGGGUUAUUCAGGGUUAUUUCAGGCCACUUUGGAAAUUCACCCAGGAUGUUUCAGUUGGUGCAGAUUUCAGAUACAUCAUUGCUUCAGGGACUUAUGUCACCUAUGCUGGUCUCAGCAGUGAAAAGGAUGCGUGGAAGUAACCUGAGCAUGAGAAAAAUCUUGUUCGUAAAUUCAAGUGACUCUGUUUUGGAGAGCAACUUUCCCUCUAUGUUGUAUUUCUAUAUUGCGUUAUAUAGCCAAAGACUCUACUGAGAAAAACAUAACUGAUUUGUGUCCCAUGGUACAAUUUCUCAAUAUCCAUUAUUCUUCAGCCUAGCAUGUGAUUCCAUUAGAUGAUUAAAACAUUUUUCUACAUUACGCUUUGAAUUUUCCAGUAACAGAUUUCAAAUGUGUAGUAUGUAUGUACAUAUGUACAAUGGAAUUUGUGCAGACAUAAUCUAUCCUCUG
rnacentral:lncRNA from 1 species